rnacentral:rRNA from 1 species
UACGGAGGGUGCGAGCGUUGUCCGGAAUCACUGGGCGUAAAGGGCGCGUAGGCGGCGCGAGCAGUCGGCGGUGAAAACCCGGGGCUCAACUCCGGGCUUGCACUCGAUACGGGCAGGCUAGAGUUCGGUAGGGGAGUCUGGAAUUCCUGGUGUAGCGGUGAAAUGCGCAGAUAUCAGGAGGAACACCGGUGGCGAAGGCGGCGAGCUGGUCCAUUACUGACGCUGAGGCGCGACAGCGUGGGGAGCAAACAGG